rnacentral:rRNA from 1 species
AGUGAACGCUGGCGGUAGGCCUAACACAUGCAAGUCGAACGGCAGCACAGUAAGAGCUUGCUCUUACGGGUGGCGAGUGGCGGACGGGUGAGAAAUACAUCGGAAUCUACUUUUUCGUGGGGGAUAACGUAGGGAAACUUACGCUAAUACCGCAUACGACCUACGGGUGAAAGCAGGGGAUCUUCGGACCUUGCGCGAUUGAAUGAGCCGAGGUCGGAUUAGCUAGUUGGCGGGGUAAAGGCCCACCAAGGCGACGAUCCGUAGCUGGUCUGAGAGGAUGAACCGCGACACUGGGAGUGAGAGGCGGUCCAGGCUCCUAGGGGAGGCAGCAGUGGGGAAUGUUGGACGAUGGGGGGAAGCCUGCUCCAGCCAUGCCGCGUGGGUGAAGAAGGCCUGCGGGUUGUAAAGCCCUUUUGUUGGGAAAGAAAAGCAGCAGGUUAAUACCCCGCUGUUCUGACGGUACCCAAAGAAUAAGCACCGGCUAACUUCGUG